rnacentral:rRNA from 1 species
GAUGAACGCUGGCGGCGUGCCUAAUACAUGCAAGUCGAGCGAACAGACGAGGAGCUUGCUCCUCUGACGUUAGCGGCGGACGGGUGAGUAACACGUGGAUAACCUCCCUAUAAGACUGGGAUAACUUCGGGAAACCGGAGCUACUACCGGAUAAUAUAUUGAACCGCAUGGUUCAAUAGUGAAAGACGGUUUUGCUGUCACUUAUAGAUGGAUCCGCGCCGCAUUAGCUAGUUGGUAAGGUAACGGCGUACCAAGGCAACGAUGCGUAGCCGACCUGAGAGGGUGAUCGGUCACACUGGAACUGAGACACGGUCCAGACUCCUACGGGAGGCAGCAGUAGGGAAUCUUCCGCAAUGGGCGAAAGCCUGACGGAGCAACGCCGCGUGAGUGAUGAAGGUCUUCGGAUCGUAAAACUCUGUUAUUAGGGAAGAACAAAUGUGUAAGUAACUAUGCACGUCAUGACGGUACCUAAUCAGAAAGCCACGGCUAACUACGUG